CCUACGGGAGGCAGCAGUGGGGAAUCUUGCGCAAUGGGCGAAAGCCUGACGCAGCAACGCCGCGUGCGGGAAGAAGGCUUUCGGACUGUAAACCGCUUUCAGCAGGAACGAAAAUGACGGUACCUGCAGAAGAAGGAGCGGCCAACUAUGUGCCAGCAGCCGCGGUGAUACAUAGGCUUCAAGCGUUGUCCGGAUUUAUUGGGCGUAAAGAGUUCGUAGGCGGUCGAGUAAGUCGGGUGUGAAAAUUCUGGGCUCAACCCAGAGACGCCACCCGAUACUGCUUGACUUGAGUUCGAUAGGGGAGUGGGGAAUUCCUAGUGUAGCGGUGAAAUGCGCAGAUAUUAGGAGGAACACCGGUGGCGAAGGCGCCACUCUGGAUCGAUACUGACGCUGAGGAACGAAAGCAUGGGUAGCAAACAGGAUUAGAUACCCUGGUAGUCCAUGCCGUAAACGGUGGGCACUAGGUGUGGGUUUCUAUUAACGAAAUCCGCGCCGUCGCUAACGCAUUAAGUGCCCCGCCUGGGGAGUACGGUCGCAAGCUAAAACUCAAAGGAAUUGACGGNGNGAGAGNGCGAGACGACACGAGGAGAG
rnacentral:rRNA from 1 species